rnacentral:rRNA from 1 species
AUGGAGGGACGGAGAAGGUUAUGCCAGCCUGGCGAUGGUUGUCCAGGUGGAAGGAUGUAGGUUUAUAGCUUAGGUAAAUCCGGGCUAUUUUAUACCGAGAUCUGAUAGCAAGCUGUACUUGUACAGUGAAGUGGCUGAUACCAUGCUUCCAGGAAAAGUCUCUAAGCUUCAGUUACAUAGGAAUCGUACCCGAAACCGACACAGGUGGUCAGGUAGAGUAUACCAAGGCGCUUGAGAGAACUAUGCUGAAGGAACUCGGCAAUUUGCCUCCG